rnacentral:lncRNA from 1 species
CUUUUUUCUCCUCCCCCCCGCUCCCGCCCCUCUAUAGCAGAACGUGACUUAAAAGAAGCAGGCGCUGCUCUUGAGGAAAAUCACCACUUCUGCAUUCUCUGAUCAGGGAUUGUAGUUAAUUAGUAAUUACACAAAAUGAUAUGCCAAAGUCCUAUAAUUACAAACUUAACCUUUUAUUUAAGGAGGAGGAUUGCUGGUUUUGUUCUUCGCUUGUACCCUUUCCAGCAUGCAAUUGGUGAAAGAAUGGAAGAAAGAAAGAAAGAAAAGCAGGAUCCUUAAAAGAAAAUCUGGUUUUGUUCGUGGCACUUUUAGAAUUUGUAACUGAGGUUUAGUGAUUUGCUCUUUUUUAUUCAUUUGUUUUCAUAGAGCUGCUGUUUUAUGUUACCAUUCUGUUUCGGUGGAGCCAUAAACCUCAGCGAGCUACUUGGUCCAAACAUGAAGAGGUGGUUGCUGUUUCAUUCCUUGGAAAUGAAAUGUUUAAUUAAGCUGGCAUUAGCCUGAUAUUUUUAAGUCUCUUUGGAAUGGGGAUGAUUCUUCCAAUGAAACAAGCAUCUCUGAGACUCCAGAUUUCUUGGAUGUUAUAACAUAUUUCUUUAUUAUUUGCAGAGUGGGCCCUUUCUUGAAUCACAUCCAGUUGUGUCAUGACUCCAUUAAAGACAAGUCAUACCACUGCAUCAACGACUGCGGAGCGGAUUAUCUCUUGUGGCUGAUGCAAUGAAUGGGUGUCCAAGUCCUCCAAAUGGGCAAAUAGUUGGUGUAUCAGAGACUUGUUAAAAGAGGCACAAUUUAAUUUCAGGUCACUGAAAUACAUCUGGGAAUGAUUUUUCCGAUAUGUGUGUAAACGUGAAAAGAACAAUUCCAGCCGUUUGCAUCCCUCCAGCCCGGCUACCUCAGGGGCAGGGGGAGAAAGACUCUGCUUUCCCAGCCCGCCUGGUUGCCAGUGCAGCGUGGAGAGGCCACGGAGAGAUGGAGGAGGCAGCGUUGCUGGAAGAGGUACAGCAUGAGCAGCCGACCGCAGCAGCUCAGGCGCUGAAUAAAUGAAGCGCCAGACAUUAGGCUGUCAGGUAUCAAAUCCAGGAAAAAGGCAUCAAAUAGUGAGCCCGUCUUCCAGCGGUUUCCACAUGGCCCAAUCUGGCAGAGGUUUCUUAAAACAAACACCUCCCCCACCCUCCCACAUCUCCCCAAAAAUCAAGGCUUAAUUCUGC